UACGGAGGGGGCUAGCGUUGUUCGGAAUUACUGGGCGUAAAGCGCGCGUAGGCGGCUUGACAAGUUGGAGGUGAAAGCCCGGAGCUCAACUUCGGAAUUGCCUUCAAGACUGUCUCGCUCGAGGCAGGGAGAGGAGAGCGGAAUACCCAGUGUAGAGGUGAAAUUCGUAGAUAUUCGCAAGAGCACCAGUGGCGAAGGCGGCUCACUGGCCCGGUACUGACGCUGAGGUGCGAAAGCGUGGGGAGCAAACAGG
rnacentral:rRNA from 1 species